rnacentral:rRNA from 1 species
UGCAAGUCGAGCGGAAACGAGUUAUCUGACCCUUCGGGUGACGAUAACGGCGUCGAGCGGCGGACGGGUGAGUAAUGCCUGGGAAAUUGCCCUGAUGUGGGGGAUAACCAUUGGAAACGAUGGCUAAUACCGCAUAAUAGCUUCGGCUCAAAGAGGGGGACCUUCGGGCCUCUCGCGUCAGGAUAUGCCCAGGUGGGAUUAGCUAGUUGGUGAGGUAAGGGCUCACCAAGGCGACGAUCCCUAGCUGGUCUGAGAGGAUGAUCAGCCACACUGGAACUGAGACACGGUCCAGACUCCUACGGGAGGCAGCAGUGGGGAAUAUUGCACAAUGGGCGCAAGCCUGAUGCAGCCAUGCCGCGUGUAUGAAGAAGGCCUUCGGGUUGUAAAGUACUUUCAGCAGUGAGGAAGGUGGGUAUGUUAAUAGCAUACUCAUUUGACGUUAGCUGCAGAAGAAGCACCGGCUAACUCCGUGCCAGCAGCCGCGGUAAUACGGAGGGUGCGAGCGUUAAUCGGAAUUACUGGGCGUAAAGCGCAUGCAGGUGGAUGAUUAAGUCAGAUGUGAAAGCCCGGGGCUCAACCUCGGAAUAGCAUUUGAAACUGGUCAUCUAGAGUACUGUAGAGGGGGGUAGAAUUUCAGGUGUAGCGGUGAAAUGCGUAGAGAUCUGAAGGAAUACCGGUGGCGAAGGCGGCCCCCUGGACAGAUACUGACACUCAGAUGCGAAAGCGUGGGGAGCAAACAGGAUUAGAUACCCUGGUAGUCCACGCCGUAAACGAUGUCUACUUGGAGGUUGUGGCCUUGAGCCGUGGCUUUCGGAGCUAACGCGUUAAGUAGACCGCCUGGGGAGUACGGUCGCAAGAUUAAAACUCAAAUGAAUUGACGGGGGCCCGCACAAGCGGUGGAGCAUGUGGUUUAAUUCGAUGCAACGCGAAGAACCUUACCUACUCUUGACAUCCAUAGAACUUUCCAGAGAUGGAUUGGUGCCUUCGGGAACUAUGAGACAGGUGCUGCAUGGCUGUCGUCAGCUCGUGUUGUGAAAUGUUGGGUUAAGUCCCGCAACGAGCGCAACCCUUAUCCUUGUUUGC